UCCGUGCCGUGAGGUGUUGGGUUAAGUCCCGCAACGAGCGCAACCCUCGCCUCUAGUUGCCAGCAUUCGGUUGGGCACUCUAGAGGGACUGCCGGCGACAAGUCGGAGGAAGGUGGGGAUGACGUCAAAUCAUCAUGCCCCUUAUGACCUGGGCUACACACGUGCUACAAUGGGCGGUACAAAGGGCUGCGAACCCGCGAGGGGGAGCGAAUCCCAAAAAGCCGCUCUCAGUUCGGAUUGCAGGCUGCAACUCGCCUGCAUGAAGCCGGAAUCGCUAGUAAUCGCGGAUCAGCAUGCCGCGGUGAAUACGUUCCCGGGCCUU
rnacentral:rRNA from 1 species